UGGCGGCAGGCUUAACACAUGCAAGUCGAGCGGACCUUUCGGGGUCAGCGGCGGACGGGUGAGUAACGCGUGGGAACGUGCCUUCUGGUUCGGAAUAACCCUGGGAAACUAGGGCUAAUACCGGAUACGCCCUUAUGGGGAAAGGUUUACUGCCGGAAGAUCGGCCCGCGUCUGAUUAGCUAGUUGGUGGGGUAACGGCCUACCAAGGCGACGAUCAGUAGCUGGUCUGAGAGGAUGAUCAGCCACACUGGGACUGAGACACGGCCCAGACUCCUACGGGAGGCAGCAGUGGGGAAUAUUGGACAAUGGGCGCAAGCCUGAUCCAGCCAUGCCGCGUGAGUGAUGAAGGCCUUAGGGUUGUAAAGCUCUUUUAUCCGGGACGAUAAUGACGGUACCGGAGGAAUAAGCCCCGGCUAACUUCGUGCCAGCAGCCGCGGUAAUACGAAGGGGGCUAGCGUUGCUCGGAAUCACUGGGCGUAAAGGGCGCGUAGGCGGCGUUUUAAGUCGGGGGUGAAAGCCUGUGGCUCAACCACAGAAUGGCCUUCGAUACUGGGACGCUUGAGUAUGGUAGAGGUUGGUGGAACUGCGAGUGUAGAGGUGAAAUUCGUAGAUAUUCGCAAGAACACCGGUGGCGAAGGCGGCCAACUGGACCAUUACUGACGCUGAGGCGCGAAAGCGUGGGGAGCAAACAGGAUU
rnacentral:rRNA from 1 species